GGGGCUAUAGCUCAGCUGGGAGAGCGCCUGCCUUGCACGCAGGAGGUCGGCAGUUCGAUCCUGCCUAGCUCCACCA
rnacentral:tRNA from 39 species